UACGGGGGUUGUAAGCGUUGUUCGGAAUUACUGGGCGUAAAGCGCACGUAGGCGGUUUUGUAAGUCAGGGGUGAAAUCCCGGGGCUCAACCUCGGAACUGCCUUUGAUACUGCAAAUCUCGAGUCCGAUAGAGGUGGGUGGAAUUCCUAGUGUAGAGGUGAAAUUCGUAGAUAUUAGGAAGAACACCGGUGGCGAAGGCGGCCCACUGGAUCGGUACUGACGCUGAGGUGCGAAAGCGUGGGGAGCAAACAGG
rnacentral:rRNA from 1 species